GAUGAGUGGUAGACUUCAAAUGGAAGAAGGCAAGGACUGUGGCAUGAAGAGGUUUUGAUUGUGGGACAUAAAAGUAGAUCCAAAUCAUAGAGAAAGUUGCCAAUUAGAAAAAAGAAGAGGUACAAACUUUAGAGAAGCUCAAGUUGGCUGAAAGAAGAGAUAACAAUUAUGUUGCAUUAGGUUGGUAUUGACAAAUCUAAAUUGCGUGUUCAUUUCAAAGGAUGUAGCAAAGUAAAUGCAUUCCUAUGAAAGGAGAUGUGAGCAAUGGUGUUGUUAGAAUGUGAGGAUGGUUUGGUAGCAACAAAGAUAGGGCAUGAUUUGGGAGUUGAUAACUAUGGUAGAUCGGCUGUGAUUCACUAUGUUGUUGCAAGGUGAUAGUUGAUUUUUGUGAUUGUUAAGUAAUAACUUUGGAAGAGUUCUUAUACAUAUUUUUUGGUGUAAUAAUAAGUGAUUGUGAUGUUGUAAUCAAUGUUUUAAUAUGGUCAUUUCUUUGCUAAAGAAUGUGAUGUAUAUAAAAAC
rnacentral:lncRNA from 1 species